rnacentral:lncRNA from 1 species
CUUACCAACACGAAAAGGUCAGUGUAUGUACUUUUGUGUAAAUGGGAUAUAUAGCAGAACAAAAUUCCAGUAGUAGCUAGUACUCCCUCCGGUCCUUUUUACUCCGCGUAUUAGGUUUGGGUCAAGUCAAACUCUGCAAAGUUUGACCAAAUACAUAUUAAAAAAAUAUCAACAUUUACCAUGCCAAUAUAUAUUCCAUGAAACUACAUUUCGUAAUGAAUCUAAGGAUAUUGAUUUGACAUUGUAAAUCUUGAUACUUUUUUCUAUAAGCUUGGUUAAAUUAGAGAUGCUUUGACUUCAAACAAAACUUAUAUGCAGACUAAAAAGGACCGGAGGGAGUAUUCGAGAAGAUGUGCGAUAUUGUCGUUAACAGACACUUAGGCACUUUCACUCUAGCCUAUCUCAUUUAUUAUUAUUGUAAAUCAUUUGUUAUUAUUGUGAAUAUAUUUGCAAUGCAAGUUUUGUAGUGAUGAAAAAACACAACGCACAACCCUGACAAUUUUCAUGAGCAGAAUAUAAUUGGUAUUUUGCUGGGACGGAGGAAAAGCCCACCCCGC